rnacentral:rRNA from 1 species
AAAUCAGGUAGGACUACCCGCUGAACUUAAGCAUAUCAAUAAGCGGAGGAAAAGAAACUAACAAGGAUUCCCCUAGUAACUGCGAGUGAAGCGGGAAAAGCUCAAAUUUAAAAUCUGGCGGUCUUUGGCCGUCCGAGUUGUAGUCUGGAGAAGUGCUUUCCGCGCUGGACGGAAAA